rnacentral:misc_RNA from 1 species
AAGUCGUAACAAGGUUUCCGUAGGUGAACCUGCGGAAGGAUCAUUACUGAUUUUAAAUCAAUACACCGUGAACCGAGGUGGGCUUGUUGAGGUAAUACUCGAUGAGCCGCCUUAAAAGUCCCGACGUUAGGCUUCCUUUUGGGGGGUCUUUGACUGGGCAUUUAUAAAACUUUAAGCAGAGUCAAUUAGUUUAAUCUAAUAUACGACAACUUUUAGCAACGGAUCUCUAGGUUCUC